UGAUGUCAGGGGGAGGAGAGAGACUUCCAGACUGACUCAGUGUCUGUCGGUGUGUGUGUGUGUAGAUGUGCGUGUACGGCGAGGAAUUCAUCCGCUGGAGGACUUUUCCCCACGAAGAAAAACUACUUAUCCUUGUGAAAUAAGCCGACACCAGGGACGAGGCGAGGAGGACGAAUGCGAAGAUGCGAGAAGAAGUCCAGGAAGAGAGUGAGUGCUUAUUAAAAAUUCAGCGCGGGAGAACAGACAUUAUCGCCCCUUCUUCAGAUGACUUGUGGCAGCACUGAGGAGAAACUACGGCACUAACGGGCUCCGGACAUUAUUGAAUGGGGUGAAACGAAGCGGAAUUCUCUCUUGAAGGCGAGUCCAGAGCUUUUCCAAGCGGCCAAAAAACCAAAGGGAAGGGGAGGAGAGGGGGGCAAAGAAAACGCCCUGCUGCCUGUUGCUGCUAUCUCCACAUUCAAACUUUAUCGCCGAGUUGGAAAAUGCAUCUUUCACUCACCAGGAGGUGAUAAUAAUAAUAGUAACAGCUCCAGUGUGACGUUAUCUUUAUUCGCUCGAAGCCAAAGUGCAAGUUGACCGAGGGACGCGUUCACUUGGCAAGUUUCGGGAAGCGGGGAGUCUCUGCUUUGGGAAUAUUUUUCUCCUCAUUGUGCACACUAUUCCUGUUGGAGGCGAUUUGGGUGGGCUGAGAGCCCAAGGCUGCUCCGCUAGGCCCACGGCCAUUAGCCAGGAACAAAGAGGAGGUUUCACAUGUAAACUCACACAGUUCGGACAAAAACCUCUGCAUAAUUCUCCUCUACUUUGACCCACCGACGCUGCAGUCAUGUCGCUCGGCGCCGAGAGGCGGAUGGAAACCCGGCUGAAGAAGCUGGAGGACAUGAUCAGGGAUCCCAGAUCUGCCAUAAACCUGGAAAGUUUGCUGGACUCCAUCAACGCCCUGGUCUUAGACUUGGACUACCCUGCACUACGCAAGAACAAAAACAUUGAAACCUUCCUUAACAGAUAUGAGAAAGUCAUUGGACAGACUCGAGACCUCCAGAUGAAGUCGGAAGACUUUGACAGAGUUAAAGUCAUUGGUCGAGGGGCGUUUGGUGAAGUCCAACUGGUGCGGCAUAAAGCGUCUCAAAAGGUUUAUGCCAUGAAGCUGCUGAGCAAGUUUGAAAUGAUCAAGCGCUCAGACUCAGCUUUCUUCUGGGAAGAGAGGGACAUCAUGGCCUUUGCUAACAGUCCCUGGGUCGUGCAGUUGUGCUGUGCCUUCCAAGAUGAGCACUACCUCUACAUGGUGAUGGAGUACAUGCCAGGAGGUGACCUGGUCAACCUCACCAGCACCUAUGACGUGCCGGAGAAAUGGGCAAAGUUCUACACCGCGGAGGUGGUGAUGGCCCUGGAUGCCAUUCACUCCAUGGGCUUCAUCCAUCGGGACGUCAAGCCUGACAACAUGCUGCUGGACAGACUCGGACACCUCAAGCUGGCAGACUUUGGCACGUGCAUGAAGAUGGAUUCUACCGGCAUGGUGCACUGUGACACAGCUGUUGGGACCCCAGACUACAUCUCGCCCGAGGUGCUGAAAUCCCAGGGAGGAGAUGGGUUUUAUGGAAGAGAGUGUGACUGGUGGUCUGUUGGGGUCUUCAUCUUCGAGAUGCUUGUUGGUGACACGCCGUUUUAUGCCGACUCUCUGGUGGGAACCUACAGUAAGAUCAUGGACCAUAAAAACUCCCUCAACUUCCCGGAUGAUGUGGAGAUCUCCAAAGAUGCCAAGAAUAUCAUCUGUGCCUUCCUGACUGACAGGGAGGUGCGAUUGGGCAGGAAUGGUGUGGAGGAAAUUAAGCGACACCCUUUCUUCAAGAACGACCAGUGGACUUUUGAUACCAUCAGAGACACUGUUGCCCCUGUCGUCCCAGAGCUCAGCAGUGACAUAGACACCAGCAAUUUUGAUGAGAUUGAAGAAGACAAAGGCGACGUAGAAACGUUCCCCACACCUAAGGCCUUUGUUGGAAAUCAGUUGCCCUUUGUUGGAUUCACUUACUUCAAAGAAGACCAGUUGCUGAAUGCUUCCAACAAUACCUCGGUGACUCAUGAGAAUUCAAAAGGAGAGGCAGCAGCGCUGCAGAAGAAACUGCGCCACCUGGAGGUGCAGCUAAAUAACGAGAAGCAGAUCAAAGACGAUAUAGAGCACAAAUGCAGGGCUGCCACCAACCGUCUAGACAAAAUCUCCAAAGAACUUGAGGAAGAGGUGAGCGGCAGGAAGAAUCUGGAGUCGACACUGAGACAGCUGGAGAGAGAGAAAGCUUUGCUGCAGCACAAGAGCCUGGAGAGCCACCGAAAGGCAGAGAGUGAGGCGGACAGGAAGCGUUGCCUGGAGAAUGAAGUCAACAGCCUUCGAGACCAGCUGGAUGACAUGAAGAGAAGAAACCAGAAUUCUCACAUUUCCAACGAGAAGAACAUUCACCUGCAGAAACAGCUGGAAGAAGCCAACACGUUGCUGCGGGCUGAGUCUGAAGCGGCGACACGUCUCCGUAAAACCCAGACGGAGAGCAGCAAGCAGCUGCAGCAGCUGGAGGCCAACGUGCGUGAGUUGCAGGAUAAAUGCUGCCUGUUGGAGCGCAGCAAGCUGAGCCUGGAGAAGGAAUGCAUCAGCCUGCAGGCCGCACUGGAGACGGAGAGGAGGGAGCACAGCCAGGGCUCUGAGACCAUCAGUGACCUGAUGGGACGCAUCUCUAGCCUGGAGGAGGAAGCACGGCAGCAGAGACAGAUUCUGUCUAAAGCAGAGAGUGAGAAGAGACAGCUUCAGGAGAAACACACCGAUAUGGAGAAGGAGAUGAGUAACAAGGAGAUUGAGCUGACCUACAAGCUGAAGGUGUUGCAGCAGGAGCUGGAGCAGGAGGAGGCCUCUCAUAAGGCCACCAGGGCGCUGCUGGCAGACAAGAGCAAGAUCAAAGUAACCAUUGAGGGCGCCAAGUCAGAGUCCAUGAAGGAGAUGGAGCAGAAGCUGGCGGAGGAGCGAGCAGCCAAACUUCGGUUAGAAAACCGAAUCCUGGAGCUGGAGAAGCACAGCAGCAUGAUGGACUGUGAUUAUAAACAGGCUCUGCAGAAACUAGACGAGCUGCGCAGACACAAGGACCGACUGACUGAGGAGGUGAAGAACCUGACACUGAAGAUUGAGCAGGAGACCCAGAAGCGUAGCCUGACUCAGAAUGACCUGAAGGCCCAGAACCAGCAGCUCAGUUCUCUGCGAACCUCUGAGAAGCAGCUCAAACAGGAAACCAAUCACUUGCUGGAUAUUAAACGCAGCCUGGAGAAACAGAACCAAGAGCUGCGCAAAGAAAGACAGGACACCGACGGGCAAAUGAAGGAGUUACAGGACCAGUUGGAAGCUGAACAGUAUUUCUCUACGCUGUAUAAGACCCAGGUUCGUGAACUAAAGGAGGAGUGUGAGGAGAGGAACAAACUCUACAAAGAUGCGCAGCAAUCUAUGCAGGACCUACAGGAGGAGAGAGAUUCAUUGGCAGCUCAGCUCGAGAUCACACUAACAAAGGCUGACUCAGAGCAGCUGGCGCGAUCCAUUGCUGAGGAGCAGUAUUCAGACUUAGAAAAAGAGAAGAUAAUGAAGGAGCUGGAACUGAAGGAGAUGAUGGCCCGACAUCGUCAGGAGCUAUCUGAGAAAGACAUCACCAUCAGCUCGCUUGAGGAAGCCAAUAGGACCCUGACCAGUGAUGUUGCAAACCUGGCCAAUGAGAAGGAAGAGCUGAACAACAAAUUGAAGGAGGCGGUAGAGGAAUCAGACAAAUCAAAGGAUUGGGAGCAGCAAAUCAGCCAGAUGAAGGUGGCGUUUGAGAAGCAGCUGCAGUCAGAGAGGACGCUGAAAACUCAGGCUGUCAAUAAACUGGCAGAGAUCAUGAACAGGAAGGAGGUCCGUGGCGGAGGAAGCCGUCGGGGUAAUGACACAGACAUGCGGCGGAAGGAGAAGGAGAACAGGAAGCUGCAGUUGGAGCUGAGGUCGGAGAAGGAGAAACUCAACAGCUCCAUCAUCAAAUACCAGAGAGAGAUCAAUGAAAUGCAGGCGCAACUGUCAGAAGAGAGCCAGAUGCGUAUCGAGCUGCAGAUGGCUCUGGACAGUAAGGAUAGUGACAUAGAGCAGCUGAGGACCCUCCUGCAGUCGCUCAGCGUUCAGUCACUGGACUCUGCCAGCGUCAACAGCGGGCCAGAGUUUGAUACCGAUGAUCCGCUCACAGAAAUGAGGCUGGAGGGCUGGCUCUCUCUUCCUGUCAGAAACAACACCAAGAAGUUUGGAUGGGAGAAAAAGUAUGUUGUAGUGAGCAGCAAGAAGAUUCUCUUCUACAACAACGAGCAAGACAAAGAGCAGUCCAUUCCCUACAUGGUGCUCGACAUAGACAAACUCUUCCACGUGAGGCCUGUCACUCAAACGGAUGUGUAUCGUGCUGACGCCAAAGAGAUUCCCAGGAUAUUUCAGAUCCUUUACGCCAAUGAGGGCGAGAGCAAAAAGGAGCCAGAGUUUCCCGAGCCGCUGGCCAUUGGAGAGAAGUCGAGCUACAUCUGCCACAAGGGCCACGAGUUCAUCCCCACCCUCUACCACUUCCCCACCAACUGUGAGGCAUGCACCAAGCCGCUGUGGAACAUGUUCAAGCCGCCGCCUGCUCUGGAGUGCCGACGCUGCCACAUCAAGUGCCACAAGGACCACAUGGACAAGAAGGAGGAGAUCAUUGCUCCAUGCAAAGUGAACUAUGACGUGUCUACGGCCAAGAACCUGCUGCUGCUGGCCAUAUCCCAGGAGGAGCAGCAGAAGUGGGUGAGUCGACUGGUCAAGAAGAUCCCCAAGAAGCCUCCACCCCCAGAGCACUUUGCACGCUCCUCGCCACGUGCCUCCAUGAAGGUCCAGCCCAGCCAGUCCAUGAGGAGACCCAGUCGACAGCUCCCCACCAGCAAGAGCAGCCCUCACAGAUCAAAUGGCUUCAAAAUGAGGCGAGAAGAGUCCCACAGUGGACACUGGUACAAUUGAUGACCUCUCCCACCUGGAUCUUCCUUUGCCCAGACGUUUCCCUGUAAACCGCUCUAUCCCUGAAUUUAACCUUGCUUGGGAGCGUGGUGCGUUGUCAAGGUGGUGGGGUGUGUUUCCUCCCAAAUCGAAGACUGUAUACAAAGCUCCGUUUGCAGAUCAGCACACUGAACUCCACAUCACUUCACCACAUCCCACCCUGCCGUGCUUCAGCCUGUGAGAGUUACAAAGUCUGUCUUUCCCUUUUGUUGAACAUUUUUCCCAGCCAAUUGAAGCGGUAACGACGAUCAAACCCAACCCCUGUGUGAUCUUCUCACCCAGCUGGAAGGCUUGUAAGCAUAUUAGCAGAGGUCUUCUCUCAGGCCCUUGACAAGAGCAAUUAUGCAUCUCUUGGGAGCUGGAAUAGCUUGUUCAGCUCCCGCAGAGAAGAAGAGAGCUCUUAUAAGCUUGAUCGGGGCUGGCAAGGAGGAGAUACACUUACCUCAACACUUCUCACCAGGACACACUGUCUGAUUGAAGGACCUAACAGGAAAACUCUUACUCACCACCGUUGGGGAUUCUUGUGGCCAAAUGAAAAAAGACAUUCUUGUGCUAAAUGAUUGUGAACAAUAUGAAAGGUUUAAUGGGGAACACUACACUCAGAAGAAAGUCAGUUCUGUAAUUUGUUGGCUGAAUGCAACUGAGGUUGUUGAACUUGAUCCCAGCAACAGCAUCUGGACUUCGGCUUACUCAUACUCUUUAGCAUAUGGAUUGUAGCUUCUUGCUUCCCACGAUUCUGCUUUCAGGUGCGCGUCCACACGGGUCACAGAAACUUGAAUGAGGUACUCAACCAAAAAAAGCUAUGACUUCAAGGAAAGUCAGCAAGGCGGGUGAGGAGUGUCAGAUUUGAGCAAACAAUUCCUUGAGCACCUUUUAUUCAAAUUUCUGACUCAGGCACGCUCUGAAUCACCGGUUUGUCGUUGUAUGACUACAGUUACGGUUCCAAGUGAACAGGAUCCUGCUCUGAAUGGCAUUGGAUGGUGGGCCAGACAAGAGAUCCUCGCAGUCCCAUAAUCUUUCAAACCUGCACUGUCGUGUUAUGAGGGUUAAUGUUUACUGAAUUCAAGGGGUGCACCGUUAAUGCUUUUCUGAUCCGAGCUUGGCUCCUUUUCUUGUUUGAAUGUACAUCUGGUCUUUUCCCAGAGACGACACGCAGGCAUUGUAUUAUUUCUAUCCAGAUAUACUUGACUGAAGCCCCCUUUCAUCACCAACUACUCUGAGUGAACUUGCAUGUGUUUGCCUUUUCAGGCCUCACACUUCCGUGCUGUCACCCACAGGCCUCCACCUAUUAGAAAUGUUUUAGUCAUUUCCUGACAAUGACAAUGAGGGGAAUUUACCAAUAAGAAGCAGAAACAAUGAAGGUAUGCAAUCAUAUCCCAUGAGUCAAUUACUGAGCAGCACUAUUCCAUUGAAAGUUUUUCUAAAAAUGUUUGUCCUGAUAUUUUUGUAUUAAAAGUAACCAAACUCGGAGUUUGGGCACAUUGUUGUGUGUAUGUGGCAUAUAUAGCAGGUGGAGAGUAACUGUGUGUGUGUGUGUGUCAGUGUGUGUACUGAGUGCUCUCCUUUAACCAACAAGCAUGUUUUAUACAUAUAAAUAUACACAGUAUAUAUUUUACAUGCCAUACAGUGCACAUUAUAUUAUUUAUACAGCCUUGUCCACUUUGUAUUUAAGGGCUCUACAUCCAGACUGCAUGUUUGCUACCAAACAGCUCUACAAUAAUAACAACUUCAACAAUAAAGACAUGGAUGUGC